UAAUAUAUCGGAACGUACCCUGGAGUGGGGGAUAACGUACGAAAGUUACGCUAAUACCGCAUACGAUCUACGGAUGAAAGUGGGGGAUCGCAAGACCUCAUGCUCGUGGAGCGGCCGAUAUCUGAUUAGCUAGUUGGUAGGGUAAAAGCCUACCAAGGCAUCGAUCAGUAGCUGGUCUGAGAGGACGACCAGCCACACUGGAACUGAGACACGGUCCAGACUCCUACGGGAGGCAGCAGUGGGGAAUUUUGGACAAUGGGCGAAAGCCUGAUCCAGCAAUGCCGCGUGAGUGAAGAAGGCCUUCGGGUUGUAAAGCUCUUUUGUCAGGGAAGAAACGGUGAGGGCUAAUAUCUCUUGCUAAUGACGGUACCUGAAGAAUAAGCACCGGCUAACUACGUGCCAGCAGCCGCGGUAAUACGUAGGGUGCAAGCGUUAAUCGGAAUUACUGGGCGUAAAGCGUGCGCAGGCGGUUUUGUAAGUCUGAUGUGAAAUCCCCGGGCUCAACCUGGGAAUUGCAUUGGAGACUGCAAGGCUAGAAUCUGGCAGAGGGGGGUAGAAUUCCACGUGUAGCAGUGAAAUGCGUAGAUAUGUGGAGGAACACCGAUGGCGAAGCAGCCCCCUGGGUCAAGAUGACGCUCAUGCACGAAAGCGUGGGGAGCAAACAGGAUAGAUACCCUGAUAGUCCACGCCCUAAACGAUGUCUACUAGUUGUCGGGUCUUAAUUGAC
rnacentral:rRNA from 1 species